UACACUCCUGCGGGAGGCAGCAGUGGGGAAUUUUGGACAAUGGGCGAAAGCCUGAUCCAGCAAUGCCGCGUGCAGGAUGAAGGCCUUCGGGUUGUAAACUGCUUUUGUACGGAACGAAAAAGCUCCUUCUAAUACAGGGGGCCCAUGACGGUACCGUAAGAAUAAGCACCGGCUAACUACGUGCCAGCAGCCGCGGUAAUACGUAGGGUGCGAGCGUUAAUCGGAAUUACUGGGCGUAAAGCGUGCGCAGGCGGUUAUGUAAGACAGAUGUGAAAUCCCCGGGCUCAACCUGGGAACUGCAUUUGUGACUGCAUGGCUAGAGUACGGUAGAGGGGGAUGGAAUUCCGCGUGUAGCAGUGAAAUGCGUAGAUAUGCGGAGGAACACCGAUGGCGAAGGCAAUCCCCUGGACCUGUACUGACGCUCAUGCACGAAAGCGUGGGGAGCAAACAGGAUUAGAUACCCCGGUAGUCCCA
rnacentral:rRNA from 1 species